rnacentral:misc_RNA from 1 species
GAUGAAGAACGUAGCGAAAUGCGAUACUUGGUGUGAAUUGCAGAAUCCCGUGAACCAUCGAGUCUUUGAACGCAAGUUGCGCCCGAAGCCAUUAGGCCGAGGGCACGCCUGCCUGGGCGUCACACGUCGUUGCCCCCCCCAUCUACUCCUUCGGGAUUGCGGGGGGCGGAUGAUGGCCUCCCGUGUGCCUCGCCGCGCGGUUGGCAUAAAUACCAAGUCCUCGGCGACGCACGCCACGACAAUCGGUGGUUGCUAAACCUCGGUUGCCCGUCGUGUGCGGUCGUCGCGCAUCGAGGGCUCGAAAAAAUUGCCGGGUUCCGGCUCGGCUUUCAACGCGACCCCAGGUCAGGCGGGGUUACCCGCUGAAUUUAAGCAUAUCAAUAAGCGGAGGA